AAAAAUUUAGUUAAAUCAUAACGUUAGCUUGUCAAGCUAAAAUUAUUAGAAGCCUAAUAGUUUUUU
rnacentral:tRNA from 1 species